UGCAAGUCGAACGAGGNNGAGCUUAGCUUGCUAGGUUCAAGCCGAGUGGCGAACGGGUGAGUAACGCGUAGGAAUCUACCCAAUAGUAUGGGAUAACAUUCAGAAGUGAAUGCUAAUACCAUAUAUUCUCUACGGAGGAAAGAUUUAUCGCUAUUGGAUGAGCCUGCGUUAGAUUAGCUAGUUGGUGGGGUAAAAGCCUACCAAGGCAACGAUCUAUAGCUGGUUUGAGAGAAUGAUCAGCCACACUGGAACUGAGACACGGUCCAGACUCCUACGGGAGGCAGCAGUGGGGAAUAUUGGACAAUGGGCGGAAGCCUGAUCCAGCAAUACCACGUGAGUGAUGAAGGUCUUCGGAUUGUAAAACUCUUUCAGCGGGGAAGAUGAUGACGGUACCCGCAGAAGAAGCACCGGCUAACUUCGUGCCAGCAGCCGCGGUAAUACGAAGGGUGCUAGCGUUGCUCGGAAUUACUGGGCGUAAAGAGUACGUAGGCUGUUUUAUAAGUUGGGAGUGAAAUCCCGAGGCUCAACCUCGGAACUGCUUUCAAAACUGUAAGACUAGAGUGAUAUCGAGGAUAGCGGAAUUUCUAGUGUAGAGGUGGAAUUCGUAGAUACUAGAAGGAACACCAGAUGCGAAGGCGGCUAUCUAGGUAUAAACUGACGCUGANGUACGAAAGUGUGGGGAGCAAACAGGAUUAGAUACCCUGGUAGUCCACACUGUAAACGAUGAAUGCUAAGUAUUGGGCUUAAUUGUUCAGUGCUGAAGCUAACGCGUUAAGCAUUCCGCCUGGGGAGUACGGUCGCAAGACUAAAACUCAAAGGAAUUGACGGGGNCCCGCACAAGCGGUGGAACAUGCUGUUUAAUUCGAUACUACGCGAAGAANNUUACCGGUUCUUGACNUCCCGAUCGCAA
rnacentral:rRNA from 1 species